UACGUAGGGUGCAAGCGUUGUCCGGAAUUACUGGGCGUAAAGAGCUCGUAGGUGGUUUGUCGCGUUGUUCGUGAAAACUCACAGCUCAACUGUGGGCGUGCGGGCGAUACGGGCAGACUAGAGUACUGCAGGGGAGACUGGAAUUCCUGGUGUAGCGGUGGAAUGCGCAGAUAUCAGGAGGAACACCGGUGGCGAAGGCGGGUCUCUGGGCAGUAACUGACGCUGAGGCACGAAGGCCAGGGGAGCAAACGGG
rnacentral:rRNA from 1 species